AAACGGAAAUGAAGAAACAAAGAAGGAACAAAUAGAGAGAGAAUGAAGAAAAGAAAAAAAGAAAAAAAUGAGGAAAAAAGGAAGAAGAAUAAAAAUGUAAUGCCAAAGCGUUACAUACAGCAGAGUUUGCAUUUUUGAUUUCGUAAACUAAAAAAGAAAAAAUUACAAUCAUUUAAUUAUUCAGAAAAAAAAAAACUGAUUGACGAUAACCUGCCGGAUUAUAAUAGCAUUCUUCUGUUCACCUCCUUUAUGAGAAUAAACAAAGAGGCCGAUGCGCGGUUGCACUGUAGUGUAUAUACUUAAAGUUUAAGGCGAAGUAAAAGUUCAACGCGACACUGUUUUAUUAACAAACAAAAUUGGAAUGCAAAACAUAUAAUCAAGAAAAAAAACCAGGAAGAUUUGGAUCAACCACUUACAUCAGGCAGGUCACACGAGGGAAUCAUUUAGUCUUGGUGAGACUUUAAGGUUGAAGAGAUCGAAAUGUCAGCAGCGUUUCGAAUGAUUUAAGUCAUGAAGAAGAAAUGAAAAAGAAAUGAAGAAGAGAUGCUCCACGAAAUAUGCAGAUCUCCGUGUGAGCUAUUGCUACGGUUGAAAAACUUGGAUGAACUCGUUUCGUGACAGUGAGAUUUGGCAGUGAGAUCUCUGUAGAAUAGAAAUGAAACUCGGUUUAGGAGUUAAUAAUGAAACAAACAGAAGAUUCAGAGAAAAGAUUGCAUCCGUUUUCUUGUUCUAAUUGACGUUUAAAUGCUAUUUAUGUUUUGGAAAUUUGAAUGGAUAUACAAUAGGAAUACUGAAUUGAUAUUGAAAGGUAUUCAUUAUCGACAUAAUGAGAAGUACUAUUAUGUUUACUACAUUCUACGUAAUGAUACGUGAAGAUCUUAAAUCGCGCGUCUUGUCCUCGUUUCAACAUGGUGUAUCAUGAAAAUCACUAGUUUCCUUUUUUGUUAUAAUAAUCAACCGAGUUUGACAUUGACAUUUAACUGACAAUGAUGUAAUUGGUAACUUUUAAAAUUAAGUAAUAGUAAUAUAAAAAUAAUAGGUUUGAGAAUAAUUUGAGGAAAUUCUAAUU